UUAAACCGCUUUGUUUUACUUCCAUUCAAAACUGCUGUGUGGUGUAAAUUUGUAAAGCUAUUUUCAACUAAAACAGAUCUAAAAAGCCAAGUGAUAAAAGAGAGAAUACUUAUUGAUACUCCUGCCAUCUUCAGAAGAGUGCACAGAAACAAUAGUGAAUCAAGAAAUCAGAAUAUGAUACAGAUAUGCUUUAGGAUACACAGGACCCAGAUCUACAAGUAGAUACAUACUUGGAAAGUGUGGAAACCUGAUCAGCCCCUACUCCUACAUGCUACAGAGGAUGCAAGAGUGAGAGAAUACAUCUGUCAUGAAGGCCUCACAUAGCUCCCAGGACUUCGCACCUGUCUCAGGUCUUCCAUUUCUGAUCAGUAGCUCUCCUGGGUCCACCCUGCUGCAUCCUAGAAUGUCUAACAGGGUUAAAUGCUAACUAUGUUGGAUAAAAAAUUAAAAGUCUUGCCUACUCUGUGUCAAAGUACACUUGGCUGGCUUCCAUUACACCAUUAUGAAAUUGCCUGAGGAAUACAUUAUGUAAGCAUGCUCUGUGGCUGGACUAAAGAUUACAGAGUCCACAUACAAUUAAGAAGAAAACCCUCGCCGAAAUCAGCAAAUCUAGUCAUUUCAGGAAGAGAAACGGCAAGAGAAUUGAUUUGGAAAGUCACUGAAGACAAUGAAAUCCAACAGUGGGAAGCAGUGGAGUUUUGAAGUCACAAAAGCAGAACAAAAACACAAAUGACCCAUGGCAGCCAAACAAUACUCCACAACAUAAAAAUUAGGAGGAAAACAAGCAUUUCGUAUUGUCAUGUAAUGCAACCAAGAAUCGCAUGGGAAGAAGAAACCUCCACUGAAGACUUGCUGCCCCCAGACCAGUGCGUCUCGCUUGAUUUUUGAUAUGAGCGGAUCCAGGCAUAUGCAGAUGCAUCUUGAAUAUGUAAGAAAGCCAGCUUAGUGCAAGAACUAGGCACUGAGCCAAGAGCAAGCCAGUAAGAAGCUUGCCCUGACCAUUCCUCCGUGGUAUACUUGAGUUCUUGCCAUGAGUUCUGACAGUGAUGGAAUAUGACCUGGAAAUGCACUGAAAUCAACGUUUUCCUCCCCAUGCUGCUUUCAGUCAGUGUUAUGAAGGGCAUCACAGAGCAAACCAAGGCAAUAUCCAUCAGUCAUUUUCUACAGAACUCCAUGAUAUAGUAGACUUUUUUCAUCAUUUCCUAUUCUUCUUUUGUAUAUAAGAUAACUGACUUAGCAUCUUCUCUAUGGUUCAUUCCCAGGCCAAGCAAACAGAGGUAAAAACAAAACAAAAAGGAAAAAGCUUUGAAGGACAACAGUGAAAGCAUGUCACUUUGUUCUUCUGCAGCCUUGGACAGAUGGCUUUGCUGAAGUAGAAACCUUCUAUGGCAUGGCAGUAUCCCACUGCCUCUAGUUCCUACAGGUUCAGGAGAUGGAAUUAUAGACAUGGGAGAACAUCUGGAUUCAGGAGAAUGCACCAUUCCUAAUAUGAAACAGAAUGAAAAUAAACUCAACAUUAAAUAUUUAUUUUAAAGGUUUCUGUCUUCCAUUUUAAAAAUUUAAUUUGUCUGCCAUAUAAAAUCCUAGGUAUAAUUUCUCAACUGAUAAAACAAACUUGAGGCUUUUUGUUUUUUCAAUUUUUUCUCUAAGGUUUUUAUGAAACCAAGUGUUUUUAGGUAGCUCAGGCCAGCUUCAAACCCAACUAUGUAGCACAGGCUGGUUUC